rnacentral:rRNA from 1 species
UACGGAGGGAGCUAGCGUUGUUCGGAAUUACUGGGCGUAAAGCGCGCGUAGGCGGCUUUGUAAGUUAGAGGUGAAAGCCCGGGGCUCAACUCCGGAAUUGCCUUUAAGACUGCAUCGCUGGAAUCGUGGAGAGGUGAGUGGAAUUCCGAGUGUAGAGGUGAAAUUCGUAGAUAUUCGGAAGAACACCAGUGGCGAAGGCGACUCACUGGAC